rnacentral:rRNA from 1 species
CUACGGUGAAUACGUUCCCGGACCUUGCACACACCGCCCGUCAAGCCAUGGAAGCCGGGUGUACCUAAAGUCGGUAACCGUAAGGAGCCGCCCAGGGUAAAAACUGGUGACUGGGGCU